GCCCAGCCGUAAACUUUAACUUACAACCCAACCGCCAGAGAACUACGAGCCUAGCUUGAAACUCAAAGGACUUGACGGUUCCCCAUAUCCCCCUAGAGGAGCCUGUCCUAUAAUCGAUAAUCCCCGUUAAACCUCACCCCUCUUAGCCUAUUCAGCCUGUAUACUUCCGUCGCAAGCCCGCCACAUGAGUGAAACUCAGCGAGCUUAAUUGCCUUUUAACAUAAACGUCAGGUCAAAGUGCAGCAAACAGAGCGGGAAGAGAUGGGCUACAUUCUCUAAUAUAGAGUAUACGAAAAAGCUGUAUGAAACCCAGCUACGAAGGUGGAUUUAGUAGUAAAGAGGGAAUAGAGCGCCCCCUUUAACCCGGCACUGGGGUGCGUACACACCGCCCGUCACCCUCCUCAAUGCCACUCACAAGUACUUAACACCAAACAGCUUCAAGAGGAGGCA
rnacentral:rRNA from 1 species